rnacentral:rRNA from 1 species
AUUGAACGCUGGCGGCAUGCUUUACACAUGCAAGUCGAACGGCAGCGCGGACUUCGGUCUGGCGGCGAGUGGCGAACGGGUGAGUAAUAUAUCGGAACGUACCCAAGAGUGGGGGAUAACGUAGCGAAAGUUACGCUAAUACCGCAUACGAUCUAAGGAUGAAAGCAGGGGAUCGCAAGACCUUGUGCUCCUGGAGCGGCCGAUAUCUGAUUAGCUAGUUGGUGAGGUAAAGGCUCACCAAGGCAACGAUCAGUAGCUGGCCUGAGAGGACGACCAGCCACACUGGAACUGAGACACGGUCCAGACUCCUACGGGAGGCAGCAGUGGGGAAUUUUGGACAAUGGGGGCAACCCUGAUCCAGCAAUGCCGCGUGAGUGAAGAAGGCC